GUGGUUUAAUUCGAUGAUACGCGAGGAACCUUACCUGGGCUAGAAUGCGGUUUGACCGUAGGUGAAAGCUUAUUUUGUAGCAAUACACAGAUCGUAAGGUGCUGCAUGGCUGUCGUCAGCUCGUGCCGUGAGGUGUUAGGUUAAGUCCUGCAACGAGCGCAACCCCUGUCACUAGUUGCCAUCAUUCAGUUGGGGACUCUAGUGAGACUGCCUACGCAAGUAGAGAGGAAGGUGGGGAUGACGUCAAAUCAUCACGGCCCUUACGUCUUGGGCCACACACGUAAUACAAUGGCCGGUACAGAGGGCAGCUACACAGCGAUGUGAUGCAAAUCUCGAAAGCCGGUCUCAGUUCGGAUUGGAGUCUGCAACUCGACUCCAUGAAGUCGGAAUCGCUAGUAAUCGUAGAUCAGAAUGCUACGGUGAAUACGUUCCCGGGCCUUGUACACACCGCCCGUCAAGCCAUGAAAGCCGGGGGUACCUGAAG
rnacentral:rRNA from 1 species